GACGAACCGUGCGAACGUUGUUCGGAAUCACUGGGCUUAAAGGGCGCGUAGGCGGCUUACCAAGUCAGGGGUGAAAUCCUGCAGCUUAACUGUAGAAGUGCCUUUGAUACUGGCGAGCUCGAGGGAGAUAGGGGUGCGUGGAACUUCUGGUGGAGCGGUGAAAUGCGUUGAUAUCAGAAGGAACGCCGGUGGCGAAAGCGACGCACUGGAUCUCUACUGACGCUGAGGCGCGAAAGCUAGGGGAGCAAACGGG
rnacentral:rRNA from 1 species